ACACAUGCAAGUCGAACGAGAGAUGAGGAGCUUGCUCUUCAAAUCGAGUGGCGAACGGGUGAGUAACGCGUGAGGAACCUGCCUCAAAGAGGGGGACAACAGUUGGAAACGACUGCUAACACCGCAUAAGCCCACGGCUCGGCAUCGAGCAGGGGGAAAAGGAGCAAUCCGCUUUGAGAUGGCCUCGCGUCCGAUUAGCUAGUUGGUGAGGUAAUGGCCCACCAAGGCGACGAUCGGUAGCCGGACUGAGAGGUUGAACGGCCACAUUGGGACUGAGACACGGCCCAGACUCCUACGGGAGGCAGCAGUGGGGAAUAUUGCACAAUGGGGGAAACCCUGAUGCAGCGACGCCGCGUGGAGGAAGAAGGUCUUCGGAUUGUAAACUCCUGUUGUUGAGGAAGAUAAUGACGGUACUCAACAAGGAAGUGACGGCUAACUACGUGCCAGCAGCCGCGGUAAAACGUAGGUCACAAGCGUUGUCCGGAAUUACUGGGUGUAAAGGGAGCGCAGGCGGGAGAACAAGUUGGAAGUGAAAUCCAUGGGCUCAACCCAUGAACUGCUUUCAAAACUGUUUUUCUUGAGUAGUGCAGAGGUAGGCGGAAUUCCCGGUGUAGCGGUGGAAUGCGUAGAUAUCGGGAGGAACACCAGUGGCGAAGGCGGCCUACUGGGCACCAACUGACGCUGAGGCUCGAAAGUGUGGGUAGCAAACAGGAUUAGAUACCCUGGUAGUCCACACCGUAAACGAUGAUUACUAGGUGCUGGGG
rnacentral:rRNA from 1 species